rnacentral:rRNA from 1 species
AAUCAACGCUGGCGGCGUGCCUCAGACAUGCAAGUCGAACGCGAAAGGCUCCUUCGGGAGCCCGGUAGAGUGGCGCACGGGUGAGUAACACGUGGGUAAUUUACCUCGGGUGGGAAUAACAGCCGGAAACGGCUGCUAAUACCGCAUAAUGCAGCGGCACCACAUGGUGACAGUUGUUAAAGUGGGGGAUCGCAAGACCUCACGCCUGAAGAGAAGCCCGCGGCGGAUUAGCAGGUUGGCGGGGUAAUGGCCCACCAAGGCGUCGAUCCGUAGCCGGCCUGAGAGGGCGGUCGGCCACACUGACACUGAAUAACGGGUCAGACUCCUACGGGAGGCAGCAGUCGGGAAUUUGGGCAAUGGCGCAAGCCUGACCCAGCAACGCCGCGUGAAGGAUGAAAUCCCUCGGGAUGU